CCAAAUCAUCAUGGCGGCCAUUUCCCAUUCAGAGGAACUUGUCUCAUAAUCGAUACCCCUCGUUUAAUUUCACUUUUAUUUUUAUGUUUUUAUACCGCCGUUUAAACUAUUCUAAAAAAAUUAGUUAAAAAAGACUCAUAAUUUUUAUUUCUACAAUUUCAGGUCAAGGUGAAGCUUUCUAUAAAGAGAAGAUUAGUUACUCAUUAAAUUUAAUUAAAUGAAAUAAUUAAAAAAUAUUUUAUCUAAACAGGAUUUGAAAGUAAUUAGUUUAAUAAAAAUAUACACUGAAAUUUUUAAAUGGUGUACAUAUCGCCCGUCACCCUUAUCUAAAGAUAAGGUAAGUCGUAACACAGUUGAAAUAUUGGAAAAUGUUUCAAGAGAUCUAAUAAACUUAUAGUAAUUCAUUUACACUGAAUC
rnacentral:rRNA from 1 species